GGAUGAUCACAGUGAGUCAGAAGCCCAGAGCCUGGUACAGAUGGCAGCAGGAGAUGUGACGCCUCUCUCUGCAGUUCUAUCCCGUGGUUCCCUCUGGACAGGCUGGCUGGAGACGGGGGACUCGGGGACCCCACUAACGUGGCUCAGCUGAACUGGCUGAGUUUCCUGCCAGCCUAUUCUGGCCGAGCUGUGGCGGUAGCAGAAUGGUCAUAUCUGCGCCUGAGUAACAGUGAGAGGGGUGCCUGAGCUACUCGGGUUUGUCGGCCUUGUCUCAGUACUCGGGGUUCGCUGGGGGUCAGUGAGCCGGGCAAUCCCGGGUCUUUUCCUCCAGUCUCUGUCACUGAUGGUCACUAAUGCCCGUAGCCCUCAGGCUCACAUUACACACUUCAUACCAUGGGAGGUGACAGGAGGGCUAAGUCGGGGCUAACAGAGCUGUGAGAUUGAAGAGUCUGCAGAGACACAGAGAGUCACCCUGGCAGGGAGAUAAGAUUCCAGAUGGAGGGCGGAGUUUCUAGGAGGAGGUGAGAGCAGCCUGAGUGCCAGCUUGGCUCAAAGACAGCGUCUGUGGUCAGGCAGGGUGGGAGGGCUGUCCUGGCAGUUGGGAGAUGGAGCUGACCAGAAGCCAAGGCCAGGGAAUCAGAGUUCAUGGCCUGUGUACCCAGGGAUACUUUUACCAAGUGACCUGAUGAGGUUACAGCUUGGGGUGCUGCACCCUGGCAGCACGUGGUCCUUGCUAUGUGACCUGGGUGAGGGAAGUGCACCGUUCUUUGGUGUGUUCCCUAAACUCACUGGCCUAGUUUUCUAUGGCGCAGCAGAUACGUCAUAUGUCCACAUGUCCGACCCAGUGAGUAAGUCCACGGUGGCAGCCUGCUGCUGGUGGGUUCACAGCCGUGUCAGCCUUUGCCUUAUCCCUGUGUGUGGCCCCAGGAGACUGCUUUUUCCUCAGUGGGUUUGGCGGGCCACGCUUCUGGUGGGGAUCUGCCUGCGCACACAAGCUGCAGUCAUCCUGCCUCAGGCCCCACCUGGCCUCGCAAGUCCUUCAGUCGUGGCCAGGUCUCCACGUGGGGCCGAGGUCUUCAGACAUCAGCUGCUAUCUACGUGGCUCUCAGAGGUUCGCAAUGCUCUGCACUCUGACAACGUUCUCUCUGUCUGGCCAAAAUGGUGAGUGCUGCAGUUUCCAGGCAGCAGGCUGGGCUCCAGAGGGCAGGGCCUCAGCCAGGCUUCUAAGACUUUCUUUUAGGCAGAUCCGGUUUCCAGUGUUGGGUCAAAAAGCAUUUAACUUAGAAUAUUUAGUGAGCUCUUCAAGAUGAUGACUGAAAAGCUCUUCCAAUCAAGUAGAUAAAAUCUCUUUUCUCAUUAUCUGUUUCCAUCUUCUGAGUAGCCUGGUUUGCCUUCCUUUAUUAAAAAGCAUAUUUUUUAAUUUAUGAAGGUCAAGCUGAACUUUGUGGCACACA
rnacentral:lncRNA from 1 species